GACAGAGGGUGCAAACGUUGUUCGGAAUUACUGGGCGUAAAGCGCGUGUAGGCGGCUUUGCAAGUCGGGUGUGAAAUCCCACGGCUCAACCGUGGAAGUGCACUCGAAACUGCAAGGCUAGAGUCCUGGAGAGGAAGGUGGAAUGCUUGGUGUAGAGGUGAAAUUCGUAGAUAUCAAGCGGAACACCGGUGGCGAAGGCGGCCUUCUGGACAGUGACUGACGCUGAGACGCGAAAGCGUGGGGAGCGAACAGG
rnacentral:rRNA from 1 species